ensembl:ncRNA ZK867.8 ncRNA
CACGACGACGAUGUGGACGAUAGAAAACGAAAGACAGGCAGGGGACGUGGAGGCUCCGCCCUAUUUUGCAUAACGUUCUGGCUUGCUAUGGGGUGCCUACUCAGUAUCCCGAGACGAGUCUUGAAGCUCUCUCUGAUUCAUGCGGUCACUCGUCACUUGGCGGUCUGUCUACAGCUAGCUCGUUUCCUAGUCGGAAUGGGAGUGUGGAGCGAGUGAAUGUGUUGGUCGAGGAGAAGCAGCACCAGAGCUCAAGCCUUUUCCGCCGAGCACAC